GACGAACGCUGGCGGCGUGCCUAAUACAUGCAAGUCGAACGCAGUGGGGACGGGUGAGUAACACGUGGGUAACCUCCCAUCAGAGGGGAUAACACUUGGAAACAGGUGCUAAACCGAUACUGAUGGAUGGACCCGCGGUGCAUUAGCUAGUUGGUGAGGUAACGGCUCACAAAGUCCACGAUGCAUAGCCGACCUGAGAGGGUGAGCGGCCACACUGGGACUUAGACACGGCCCAGACUCCUACGGGAGGCAGCAGUAGGGAAUCUUCGACAAUUGACGAAAGUCUGACCGAGCAACGCCGCGUGAGUGAAGAAGGUUUUAGGAUCGUAAAACUCUGUGGUUAGAGAAGCGGUAUCUAACCAGAAAGCCACGGCUAACUACGUGCCAGCAGCCGCGGUAAUUG
rnacentral:rRNA from 1 species